CAGUAGCCACGGUAAUACAGAGGGUGCAAGCGUUAAUCGGAAUUACUGGGCGUAAAGCGCGCGUAGGUGGUUUGUUAAGUUGGAUGUGAAAGCCCCGGGCUCAACCUGGGAACUGCAUCCAAAACUGGCAAGCUAGAGUACGGUAGAGGGUGGUGGAAUUUCCUGUGUAGCGGUGAAAUGCGUAGAUAUAGGAAGGAACACCAGUGGCGAAGGCGACCACCUGGACUGAUACUGACACUGAGGUGCGAAAGCGUGGGGAGCAAACAGGAUUAGAUACCCCGUAGUCCCUGUCUCUUAUACA
rnacentral:rRNA from 1 species